AGAUUAAGUUAUUAAGGGCGCACGGUGGAUGCCUUGGCACUAGAAGCCGAUGAAGGACGUUACUAACGACGAUAUGCUUUGGGGAGCUGUAAGUAAGCUUUGAUCCAGAGAUUUCCGAAUGGGGAAACCCAGCAUGAGUUAUGUCAUGUUAUCGAUAUGUGAAUACAUAGCAUAUCAGAAGGCACACCCGGAGAACUGAAACAUCUUAGUACCCGGAGGAAGAGAAAGAAAAUUCGAUUCCCUUAGUAGCGGCGAGCGAAACGGGAAGAGCCCAAACCAACAAGCUUGCUUGUUGGGGUUGUAGGACACUCUAUACGGAGUUACAAAGGACGACAUUAGACGAAUCAUCUGGAAAGAUGAAUCAAAGAAGGUAAUAAUCCUGUAGUCGAAAAUGUUGUCUCUCUUGAGUGGAUCCUGAGUACGACGGAGCACGUGAAAUUCCGUCGGAAUCUGGGAGGACCAUCUCCUAAGGCUAAAUACUCUCUAGUGACCGAUAGUGAACCAGUACCGUGAGGGAAAGGUGAAAAGCACCCCGGAAGGGGAGUGAAAUAGAACCUGAAACCGUGUGCUUACAAGUAGUCAGAGCCCGUUAAUGGGUGAUGGCGUGCCUUUUGUAGAAUGAACCGGCGAGUUACGAUUUGAUGCAAGGUUAAGCAGUAAAUAUGGAGCCGUAGCGAAAGCGAGUCUGAAUAGGGCGUUUAGUAUUUGGUCGUAGACCCGAAACCAGGUGAUCUACCCUUGGUCAGGUUGAAGUUCAGGUAACACUGAAUGGAGGACCGAACCGACUUACGUUGAAAAGUGAGCGGAUGAACUGAGGGUAGCGGAGAAAUUCCAAUCGAACCUGGAGAUAGCUGGUUCUCUCCGAAAUAGCUUUAGGGCUAGCCUCAAGUGAUGAUUAUUGGAGGUAGAGCACUGUUUGGACGAGGGGCCCCUCUCGGGUUACCGAAUUCAGACAAACUCCGAAUGCCAAUUAAUUUAACUUGGGAGUCAGAACAUGGGUGAUAAGGUCCGUGUUCGAAAGGGAAACAGCCCAGACCACCAGCUAAGGUCCCAAAAUAUAUGUUAAGUGGAAAAGGAUGUGGCGUUGCCCAGACAACUAGGAUGUUGGCUUAGAAGCAGCCAUCAUUUAAAGAGUGCGUAAUAGCUCACUAGUCGAGUGACACUGCGCCGAAAAUGUACCGGGGCUAAACAUAUUACCGAAGCUGUGGAUUGUCCUUUGGACAAUGGUAGGAGAGCGUUCUAAGGGCGUUGAAGCAUGAUCGUAAGGACAUGUGGAGCGCUUAGAAGUGAGAAUGCCGGUGUGAGUAGCGAAAGACGGGUGAGAAUCCCGUCCACCGAUUGACUAAGGUUUCCAGAGGAAGGCUCGUCCGCUCUGGGUUAGUCGGGUCCUAAGCUGAGGCCGACAGGCGUAGGCGAUGGAUAACAGGUUGAUAUUCCUGUACCACCUAUAAUCGUUUUAAUCGAUGGGGGGACGCAGUAGGAUAGGCGAAGCGUGCGAUUGGAUUGCACGUCUAAGCAGUAAGGCUGAGUAUUAGGCAAAUCCGGUACUCGUUAAGGCUGAGCUGUGAUGGGGAGAAGACAUUGUGUCUUCGAGUCGUUGAUUUCACACUGCCGAGAAAAGCCUCUAGAUAGAAAAUAGGUGCCCGUACCGCAAACCGACACAGGUAGUCAAGAUGAGAAUUCUAAGGUGAGCGAGCGAACUCUCGUUAAGGAACUCGGCAAAAUGACCCCGUAACUUCGGGAGAAGGGGUGCUCUUUAGGGUUAACGCCCAGAAGAGCCGCAGUGAAUAGGCCCAAGCGACUGUUUAUCAAAAACACAGGUCUCUGCUAAACCGUAAGGUGAUGUAUAGGGGCUGACGCCUGCCCGGUGCUGGAAGGUUAAGAGGAGUGGUUAGCUUCUGCGAAGCUACGAAUCGAAGCCCCAGUAAACGGCGGCCGUAACUAUAACGGUCCUAAGGUAGCGAAAUUCCUUGUCGGGUAAGUUCCGACCCGCACGAAAGGCGUAACGAUUUGGGCACUGUCUCAACGAGAGACUCGGUGAAAUCAUAGUACCUGUGAAGAUGCAGGUUACCCGCGACAGGACGGAAAGACCCCGUGGAGCUUUACUGUAGCCUGAUAUUGAAAUUCGGCACAGCUUGUACAGGAUAGGUAGGAGCCUUUGAAACGUGAGCGCUAGCUUACGUGGAGGCGCUGGUGGGAUACUACCCUAGCUGUGUUGGCUUUCUAACCCGCACCACUUAUCGUGGUGGGAGACAGUGUCAGGCGGGCAGUUUGACUGGGGCGGUCGCCUCCUAAAAGGUAACGGAGGCGCUCAAAGGUUCCCUCAGAAUGGUUGGAAAUCAUUCAUAGAGUGUAAAGGCAUAAGGGAGCUUGACUGCGAGACCUACAAGUCGAGCAGGGUCGAAAGACGGACUUAGUGAUCCGGUGGUUCCGCAUGGAAGGGCCAUCGCUCAACGGAUAAAAGCUACCCCGGGGAUAACAGGCUUAUCUCCCCCAAGAGUUCACAUCGACGGGGAGGUUUGGCACCUCGAUGUCGGCUCAUCGCAUCCUGGGGCUGUAGUCGGUCCCAAGGGUUGGGCUGUUCGCCCAUUAAAGCGGUACGCGAGCUGGGUUCAGAACGUCGUGAGACAGUUCGGUCCCUAUCCGUCGUGGGCGUAGGAAAUUUGAGAGGAGCUGUCCUUAGUACGAGAGGACCGGGAUGGACAUACCUCUGGUGUACCAGUUGUCGUGCCAACGGCAUAGCUGGGUAGCUAUGUGUGGACGGGAUAAGUGCUGAAAGCAUCUAAGCAUGAAGCCCCCCUCAAGAUGAGAUUUCCCAACUUCGGUUAUAAGAUCCCUCAAAGAUGAUGAGGUUAAUAGGUUCGAGGUGGAAGCAUGGUGACAUGUGGAGCUGACGAAUACUAAUCGAUCGAAGACUUAAUCAAAUU
rnacentral:rRNA from 1 species